rnacentral:misc_RNA from 1 species
GAUGAAGAACGUAGCGAAAUGCGAUAAGUAGUGUGAAUUGCAGAAUUCAGUGAAUCAUCGAAUCUUUGAACGCACAUUGCGCCCCUCGGUAUUCCGUGGGGCAUGCCUGUUCGAGCGUCAUUUAACCCCUCAAGCCUAGCUUGGUAUUGGGUGCUUGUCCCGCCUCUCGCGCGGCGACUCACCUCAAAGUCAUUGGCAGCCCGCAUCUCGCCGGCCGUGAGCGCAGCACAGACGCGCUCUUGGCAACGACGGAUCGGCUCUCCAAAAGCUUAAUUCAACCACUGACCUCGGAUCAGGUAGGGAUACCCGCUGAACUUAAGCAUAUCAAUAAGCGGAGGA